CGGGGUGCAGCAGGCGCGAAAACUUUACAAUGCGGGAAACCGUGAUAAGGGGACACCGAGUGCCAGCAUCAUAUGCUGGCUGUCCAGGUGUGCAAAAUACACCUGUUAGCAAGGGCCGGGCAAGACCGGUGCCAGCCGCCGCGGUAACACCGGCGGCCCGAGUGGUGAUCGUGAUUAUUGGGUCUAAAGGGUCCGUAGCCGGUUUGGUCAGUCCUCCGGGAAAUCUGACAGCUUAACUGUUAGGCUUUCGGAGGAUACUGCCAGACUUGGAACCGGGAGAGGUAAGAGGUACUACAGGGGUAGGAGUGAAAUCUUGUAAUCCCUGUGGGACCACCUGUGGCGAAGGCGUCUUACCAGAACGGGUUCGACGGUGAGGGACGAAAGCUGGGGGCACGAACCGGAUUAGAUACCCGGGUAGUCCCAGCCGUAAACGAUGCUCGCUAGGUGUCAGGCAUGGCGCGACCGUGUCUGGUGCCGCAGGGAAGCCGUGAAGCGAGCCACCUGGGAAGUACGGCCGCAAGGCUGAAACUUAAAGGAAUUGGCGGGGGAGCAC
rnacentral:rRNA from 1 species